AAUUGUUCUGUUUUACAUUUUUUCAUCAUUAUUUCCACAUUGAAGUGUUACAAGGAGCUUUGUUGAAACAUAUGUCGAUAUACAUCCAGUCCGCCACCAGAUGCCGCUGUUCUGUGUGGUUUCAAAGCCCUGAAUGGGUGGUUCAUUUUUCUUACACAAUUAGAUGAACCCCAGUGAGUAGGGAUGGCCCGUUUGACAUUGGGCUUCGGCGCGCGGUUCACCGUCAUGAAACAGAGUGUUUCGGCACAAUGUUUCGAAGCGUGUGUCAACCAGCGCAGAUCAAGUGAUUGAUGACGUAUGACGCGCCAAAUGCAUCAUUCACCUGAACCAGGUUUCAGAUCUCAGGUGUGUUUGAUCAGAAGGGCGCGCUGUUGUCUAUAAAUACAGAUGAAUCCCAAACAACGUUUCCCGACCAGUUCUGUUGUUUCCCGUGUAUCGUAAGAAUCAACAUCAUGGCACCCGGUAAAAAACGUUCUGUGGCUUGGGAUCAUUUCAACUUGAUUUCUCCAAAUAAGGUAAUACACUAUUAACGUUAUUUUAUUAGUAGCCAUUGCUGAUUAUGUCAGUUUUAUAGGUAUGUCUGUCAGUUGAAAGGAAUCAUUUUUAUUCUUUCCAUUUCUUUUUUAGGUGCAAUGUUUGAUUUGCAAACAUGAAUUUGCAUUUAAUGACAGUACAUCCUCCAUGAUGCGACAUCUCCGCUCCGUUCCUCAUGUUGAAACUCCGCAGUCUGCAAAUCAAGCCUUCAAUCCACCUCAUAUUGUGUCAAGAAAGCAAGAACUUGAUUCUGCAUUGGUGGAUAUGAUUGUAAUGGAUGCACAACCAUUUUCAAUUGUUGAAGAGAAAGGCUUCAAGGUAAGGUGGCUAAUAUUAUAUAGCAUUUACAUUAUUUAUGUUUUUGUGUACAUAAUAAGCUGUAUUUUUUUGUCACUAUUAGGCUUUUGUCAACCUUUUGGACCCAUCCUACAUAAAACAAUGGUGGAGGAGAAGUACAAAGCCAAAAAGGAGAAGGCCUUAGAUGUGGUUAGCAGGGCCUCUGCUGUCAGCCUUACAGCAGACAUGUGGACAUCCAUUAACAUGGACGCUUACUUGGCUGUAACAUGCCAUUUUAUCACCGAGGAGGUAGGUAUCCCCUGCUUUGUGCAAUGCUUUGGUUUAUGUAUCUCAGUUUGACUUUGUUCAUUCUAGGUGGAGCUGGCCUCUGUGGUAUUGGGGGUUCUGAAGUUUCCCCAAACCCACACUGCAGCUCACUUGGCUGAGGCCAAAAAUCUUCUCAUGGAAGAAUGGGGAAUUAAAGGGAAGGUGACAGGCCUGGUUACAGACUGUGCUCCCAACAUGGUUGCAUGUGCUAAUAUAUUACUGCUUCGGCACAUAAUGUGUUUUGCACAUAUGCUUAAUUUGGUGGUGAAAAAGUCCCUUGCCCAAACCCCUGAACUAGAGGAUAUCCGAAGUAAGGGGCGUAGGAUUGUCGGUCUUUUUAAAUCCAGCACCACAGCGAAGGAGAAGCUGUCAGAGAUGCAGCGACAGCUGGCCAGGCCAGAGCACAAAUUAAUACAAGAGGUGAAACAUUUUCUUUUUUUUUUUAUCUAAGAUUUUACAUGUUUUUGCAGUUGUUUAUUGUGUUACUUUCUUCUCUCCUUUAAAACGUGCUUGCUGUCUUAUCUUAGGUGGAAACGAGAUGGAACAGCACAUUUAAUAUGUUGGAAAGGCUGUUUAAGGAGAGAGAACCACUGGGGGCAGCUCUGGCCACCCUCCAUACAGACCUUCCUCCACUCACCUCAGAGGACUACCAGGCCAUACACCACUGCUUGAGCAUUCUUUCACCGUUUCAAGAGCUUUCGACAGAAAAACGAGUGUCAGCAUCCAAAGUCAUUCCCAUGGUCAAAAUGCUGAAACAUUACAUCUCAAGCAGGUGUGGUCAGAUCACACACCCACUUGGUGAAAAACUGGCCACUAACUUGAAGAACAAUCUCCAUGAGAGGUUUUCAGCUCUGGAGAAGGUCACUGCUCUGUCAAUGGCAACCUUGUUGGACCCAAGGUUUAAAGAGCUGGGGUUCUGCAGCCAAGGCUCUGCCCACACGGCCAUAGAGCGACUCACUAAAGAGUGUGCUGCAACAAUGCAGGUGCUACUUCCAGAGGCACAGCCACAGUCGCCACCUAGAGAAGGUCCUUCAAGUCAGCAGGAAGAUGGUCUCUGGGCCCUGCUGGACAGGCAUGUGGGGGUUCAACAGCAGGUGACCAGCACAACUGCCAGUGCAACAGUGGAGGUUCAGAGGUACUUAAAGGAACCUCACAUCCCAAGGACUCAGGACCCACUGAGAUACUGGGUUACCCACAAGGUUUUAUACCCACAUCUCUACAAGCUGGCAAUGAAGAUUUUAUGCACACCAGCUUCAUCUGUGCCUUGUGAGAGGAUGUUCUCCAAGGCUGGCGAAAUCGUCAGCCAAAGACGAAACAGGCUGAAGCCCAGCACAGUGGAGAAAAUUCUGUUUUUAAAUAAAAAUCUAUAACAUGUAUCCCACCCAGUCAUGUUAGACCCUGGUUCACAAUCACUCAUUCUCACUUUAUACAUAGCAUUCACAAUGUAACACAAGCACUUCUCACAAAUCUUCAAACAUUGUCUUUGUUUUAUUUCCACACUGAAGUGUUACAAGGGCAAGGAACUUAGUGGAGUAGAUGAUAUACGUCCUGUCUGCCACCAGUUGCCGCUGUUCUGUGUGGUUUCGAAGCCCCAAAUGCUUCAUUCAUUUUUCUGGCACAUUUACACGAAGCCCCAUGAAGCUCUCAUGGGGCUUCGAUUCCCAUCCCUACCAGUGAGGCUUCAUGGGGCUUCUAUUCCCAUCCCUAGUAAAAGGACUCAAAUGAUUAAAAGCUUUAGUAAAAAGGUCCACAUGUCAAGCUCACCCACCAAGGCCAAACCAGGAAACCAGCAUCCAGAUGGAACUCCCACAGCUGCUAUUUAUCAGCCUUGUGAGCCAAUCACAGCUCAACAGACAGGUGCUGGCCAUGAAUAUUAACCUAUGGAACACCAUGAGGGACAAACUACCACCCACAGCCCUGUCUGCCACAUGAGGAUGUUAUCAAGAAGGGACAACAGUAGGGAAAGGGACUGAACCAAGUGAACAGCUUCCUCUCUUCAGCAGACACAUGUUCCGAGUACAAGUGUGUCAAAAGCUGACAUUCUCACCGUUCAGGCCGUUGAUUGGAACAAGCGGAAGCCAGAAAAGUUGGACCAGACAUUACCAAAAUGAUACUCCCAGGUAAAGAAAUGAGCAGCAUUGUAGAUAAAGGGAUCUGUUCCCACAAGGAUCAAUCAUAAUGACCUUGAAGGACAUUGAAGGACUUUAUCUGAGCCUCAGGAAAACAAGUACCAGCUGUUUCAUCAACAUACGUGUGAUGAAUUGCAGAUUUUGGUGCCAUAAUAAAAAAAAAGGCUUUAUGAUGUCAUGCUGCUGACCAUACUGUGAUCGGUGAAGUCCAGCAGUGCUGGGGGUCCUUGAAGUGUUGUUUGAGAGCAUCUCCUCCCUGCUUCUGGAAGGUAUAGCCCAGCAAAGCCAGGAAGUUUUCUCUUUGUAAUUUGUAUGGAUGUCCAGGGCUUGUAGCACUUAUGUGUUUUCCUCUUUAAUUCUUAGGCAGCACAGAGGCAUUAAUGGAGUGAGGACGUGAGGGACUAACUGUCUGCUGAGGAGGAGAUCAUGUACAGUGCCAGCAAAAGUAUUUGGCCCCCUUGAACUUUGCAACCUUUUGCCACAUUUCAGGCUUCAAACACAAAAAUAUAAAGCUGACAUUUUUUGUGA